AUUGAACGCUGGCGGCAGGCCUAACACAUGCAAGUCGAGCGGAUGAAGGGAGCUUGCUCCUGGAUUCAGCGGCGGACGGGUGAGUAAUGCCUAGGAAUCUGCCUGGUAGUGGGGGAUAACGUCCGGAAACGGGCGCUAAUACCGCAUACGUCCUGAGGGAGCAAGAGGGGGAUCUUCGGACCUUACGCUAUCAGAUGAGCCUAGGUCGGAUUAGCUAGUUGGGGGGGUAUAGGCCUACCAAGGCGACGAUCCGUAACUGGUCUGAGAGGCUGAACAGUCACACUGGAACUGAGACACGGUCCAGACUCCUACGGGAGGCAGCAGUGGGGAAUAUUGGACGAUGGGCGAAAGCCUGAUCCAGCCAUGCCGCGUGUGUGAAGAAGGUCUUCGGAUUGUAAAGCACUUUAAGUUGGGAGGAAGGGCAGUAAGUUAAUACCUUGCUGUUUUGACGUUACCAACAGAAUAAGCACCGGCUAACUUCGUG
rnacentral:rRNA from 1 species